UAGAAAGAUAAGCUAAGUUAAGCUGUUAGGUUCAUACCCUAAAUAUAGAUUUAAUUCUUCCUUCUAA
rnacentral:tRNA from 1 species